CGACUUUCAGAGAUGGAUUGGUGCCUUCGGGAACUCUGAGACAGGUGCUGCAUGGCUGUCGUCAGCUCGUGUUGUGAGAUGUUGGGUUAAGUCCCGUAACGAGCGCAACCCUUGUCCUUUGUUGCCAGCAGUUCAGGGUGGGACUUCUAAGGAAACGGCCGGUGACAAAUGGAAGAAAGGGGGGAAUAACUUCAAUUCAUCUGGGCCUUUACAGUCUGGCUACCACACUUCUACCAUGGGUCAUACCAAAGGGUCGCCCUCCCCAGAGUGGAGCUAAUCUCACAAAACCGAUCUAAUCCCGAUUGGAGUCUGCAACUUCACUCCAUGUGAAGUCGAAAUCUAGUAAAUCUACAAAUCAAAUGUACGCGUGUGAUAUACUUCCCCCGGGGUUGGUACCCCCCGAGA
rnacentral:rRNA from 1 species